ACACAGAGGCAUGCUCACUGCAGCAGUGAUGGAGGUGAGGGUCACACCCCCCCCAGGAGGACCCCCGUACCCCUUCCCUGGGUCCUCCCGCCCCUGGAGGCACCUCCAGGUUCAGCCUAAGCUAAGGCCAGGGUUGCGUGGGGUUCUAGGCUGGGUAGUCUCCCAGGGUUCAGCAGCUGCAUUUUCCGAGGCUCUGGGGCAAGGAGCAACCCUGAGCGGCUCAAAGCUUCUGGAAGGUUCGUAUCCCCAGAAUGCCCUCCCAGCGGUCACUGUACUGCAGGGACCCGCAAUCGAGGGCAGCCCCGAGGGCAGGGGAGUCAGGUCCAGGCUGGGGCAGCACAGAUCGUAACAGUGAAAUGAUGCGAGGAGACAGAAGCCAGGCUGGCCAUCGGGCCUGCAAAGUGACCACCAGGGAGGCCAGGGACGCGUCUGUUCCUCUGUGCCCUGCGGCCACCUAGGCACGCUGGGGGAUGGGGACGUGGGGGUGGUGAGGCCUGCCGCUCACCUAACUCUCCUGUUCGCCUAGGUUCACGGGAGCCUGGGCCCUGGAGUCCGACCAUCCUGAGUUCGAAUCUCACCCGCUCACUAGUUGUACAAAAUUAAGGGUAACUGACUCCCUCCCCCUGGACUCUCCCUUUCUUGGCCUGUAACAUGGGGAUAACGCAGCUGCCCUCCCUGAGGACUGUUGUGAGGACCCAACGGGGCCCUCCGUGUAAGGCACCUGCCGGGACCGCCCCCGUUUCUCCACCAGUGCACCAACAUAGGCUGGGUGGCGUCGGUCCUGACUCGGAGUCCUGGUCUACCACCGGUGGCGCCUCGGUUUCCACUUCUGUAAAAGGGGGCUAAUGGCCAUAACCCCUCAGGGGUGUUGGCAGCACUGAGAUCAUCUGGGAAUAAUUAGCCCAGCUAGGGCCGAGGGUUUAAAUGGGAGUGGUUGAUCCUUGAAGGCCGGAGGUAGUCCAGCCUGGGAAUGGAAUAGUCUGGAGCCUUCCGGCACAGUUAUGGAGUCAGUCCUGGGUUUAAGGACUGGGGAAGUGCUGGGGCGGGAGGGGGACGGUGUUCCUCACCCUUUUUGGGUCUGGGCCAUCCCUCUGGGGUCAUGGUCUGCACACACACACACACACACACACGUUUCAGCUUUAGCGGUCAUCGCUUCCUCGAUGUCCCGCUUGGAGUCCCAGGACUGCUUGCACUGUGAGGCCAGCGCCCCUCCCCUCCUGCUUGGGUUGACUUCCCCGCUUCCCUUGCCUCUGGACCAGCCGGCCUCCUCCUGGCGGCUGGCGUCUCAGCCCCCUGGCUGGACCUCACCAGCUCCCACCCUUGGGAGGACUGCUUCCCCUCUCCGGGCCUCAGUUUCCUCAUCUGAAAAAUGGGGUUGCUAGUAGAAUCCGCCUCUUGGGGGUUGGUGUGGAUUAAGCCGGGGAGUGAGAGCUCUGAGGGCGUACUACAGGAGCAUCCAACGGGCUUUUCAGAGACGGCAACGCUUGAUUCCCCACCACACCCCCACGGCUCCCUUGGGCUCAGGAAAUGGUACCUCCCACUGUUCAUGAUGACACAGCCAUCCUUGAUUCUUCUGUCUUCCACACCCACGGCCCAUCCUUUGGCAAAUCCUGGUGGCUUUUCUCAAAAUACACCCUACAUCCAGCCGUUUUUUAUCUCCCCGGCGCUGCUGUCCCUGACCAGGCCACCGCGACCAUCUGAGAUUCUUUAACCACACAAGUCAGCCCUCGGCUGGCUCGCUCUCGCCCGCCCCUCCCCGCCUCCAUUGGCUUCGGGCGGAGGUAGAAAAGCCGUGAGGUUUCAAGGUGGCCUGUGCACGCUGCUCCCCCACCUCAGGACAGCAGGAUGAGCCACCCCAGGGCCUUUGCACUUGCUGCUUCCCCCAGCUGUGGACCUCUCCCGGGGCUCACUCCGUCACUGCACCAGGUCCACGGUCACCCCCUCACCUCAGUGACUCCGGUCCUUUGGUUUUUCCUAGCCCAGCCCCUCACCCUGCUUUCCUUUCCUUUCCUAUCUUGUCGUACUCCCUGGAUCCUGGUAUGGGCCUGUUUCUUUCCUCUUCGUCUCUCUCUUCCCUAGAACGUGAGCGGCGCAAAUGUGGGAGCCCGGUCCUGCUGUCCACUGUCUCCGGGCGCGCAGGAGAGUACCUGGCCUGAGCGUGCGCUCACCGAUCAUCACAACCGGACGCGGGAAUGCCCGAGAGCUCCGGUCAUGUUUUAAGUGCUUCCAACGGCAGCGGAGCUGUUCCACCACAGUCCCCAGGAAAUUGGUCCACGUAGGACGGAGCCUUCCCGGGAAUGAAGUCAUCUGUUCCUUUUUUUAUUUUUUGUUGCCUCUCUCCUUCAGCACGAGUCCCCGGCCUCUGCAGUCUCUCCCCGCGCGCGCACGCACACGCGCCGCGGCGGGGGUCGGCCGGGGCUGGCUGGAGGGGUGGGGGGGGAAGGGGCGAGGGGCAGGCCCCCCGGGGGGCCGCGUCCGCCCGGGGGGGAGCGGCCCCUCGCCAGCCCCCGCCUCCCGCUCCCACCCGCGACUUCCCCGGGCCCGCCCGAAAGGUGAGCUCCCGGGAGGCCGCCCGCGCUCGGGCGCGGCCAGCUCGGCAAACAAUAACAGUAAAUAACGCUCCCUUGUCAACGUAAUAAAAACGGAAACGGUUACAAUGUUUUUUAA